GAUGAACGCUGGCGGCGUGCUUAACACAUGCAAGUCGAGCGAGAAACUACAUGCAGACACUUCGGUAGAAGCGAGUAGCGGAAAGCGGCGGACGGGUGAGUAACGCGUAGGCAACCUGCCCUUCACAGAGGUAUAGCCUCGGGAAACCGGGAUUAAAACCACAUAAAAUCAUAGGUUCGCAUGAACCAAAGGUCAAAGAUUUAUCGGUGAAGGAUGGGCCUGCGUCUGAUUAGCUGGUUGGUAGGGUAAAAGCCUACCAAGGCGACGAUCAGUAGCCGACCUGAGAGGGUGAUCGGCCACAUUGGAACUGAGACACGGUCCAAACUCCUACGGGAGGCAGCAGUGGGGGAUAUUGCACAAUGGGGGAAACCCUGAUGCAGCAACGCCGCGUGAGGUAUGAAGGCCUUUGGGUUGUAAGCCUCUGUCCUAGGGGAAGAAAAAAAUGACGUACCCGAGGAGAGCCCG
rnacentral:rRNA from 1 species